CUGAAGCCCAAAACAGCUGAGGUAGUAUGCAAUAACAAUACUGACAGUUUUAUGUUGUCAGGUGCUUCCUCAGUGUUGUAGUCAGACUAUUUUUAAGAUUAUGCACUGUAAACCAAGACACAACCAGAGACAAGAUAGCACAGAGCUAGCAAAUCAAGACAUGGAAAAUAUGCUAGCUAUAUGGAUGCAGUGGUACAGCACUGUGGAGGGGAGCCAUGUGAUAAGGUUUACCUCCUGAAGUAUUUGCGAACAUUCACUCUGAGGACAAACUUGAAAAUAUAAUCAAUCAAAUGAGUGUUAGUAGUGAGAAAUGGACUGAAACAUUGCAGGAUAAUGAUCACAGAAAAUCUCCAGUGCAAGAUGAUAAUAUACCAACAGGAAAAGAGGUUGAGAACAGGAAGAAAGAAUGUGUUCCAGACAAUAAUGAACACUGCCCGACUGAUUUAAAAGAGUCAACAUGUGCUAUUAAAAAACACAGAGCAGAGGUGUACAAGCACAAAGAAUGCUGAAGUGCCCGUACCAUUGUUUGCCACCAGUGGAAAAGGGAUUUACGGUGAGAGUCCCAAUUCCCAAUUUCAGUUGAGGAAGAGGAGAUGCAAAGCCAAUCUUGGGUGUCAUCCUCAACACAAGAGCUGAUGGCUUCUACUGAAUUGGGACAACAGGUCCCAUUUCAUUGCCUGCUCUCUUAGAAUAAUCCCUGAUGAGGAAGUUCCAGCAGAGAAAACUGUCACCCUAACAACAACUGCAUCACUUCGGUCAAUGGGAAGAAGCCAUGGAUUCUUCAAAUGCAGCUGCCAGCACAAAAAUCAGACUCUGAGAUGCUUUUGCAAAAAGAAAAAUGUUGUGCAAUUCUAAGUGCCAUGGUGCACAUCCUUGCUGCAAUAAAUGAAUUUUAUAUAAUAUGACUACAUUUUCAAAUUGCAUCUCAUAAAAUGCAACUUUUGAAUAUGACUGUGUUUUGUUUCUGCAGCACCAUGAAUUUUAUAUGACUAUAUUUCUCAAUUG